rnacentral:rRNA from 1 species
UACAGGGGGGGCAAGGCGUUGUUCGGAAUUACUGGGCGUAAAGGGUCUGUAGGUGGCCAACUAAGUCAGAACGUGAAAUCCCUCAGCUUAACUGGGGAACUGCAUCCGAUACUGGAUGGCUUGAAUUCGGGAGAGGGAUGCAGAAUUCCAGGUGUAGCGGUGAAAUGCGUAGAUAUCUGGAGGAAUACCGGUGGCGAAGGCGGCAUCCUGGACCGACAUUGACGCUGAACGGCGAAAGCUAGGGGAGCGAAACGGG